GACGAACGCUGGCGGCGUGCUUAACACAUGCAAGUCGAACGGAAAGGCCCUGCUUUUGUGGGGUGCUCGAGUGGCGAACGGGUGAGUAACACGUGAGUAACCUGCCCUUGACUUUGGGAUAACUUCAGGAAACUGGGGCUAAUACCGGAUAGGAGCUCCUGCUGCAUGGUGGGGGUUGGAAAGUUUCGGCGGUUGGGGAUGGACUCGCGGCUUAUCAGCUUGUUGGUGGGGUAGUGGCUUACCAAGGCUUUGACGGGUAGCCGGCCUGAGAGGGUGACCGGCCACAUUGGGACUGAGAUACGGCCCAGACUCCUACGGGAGGCAGCAGUGGGGAAUAUUGCACAAUGGGCGGAAGCCUGAUGCAGCAACGCCGCGUGCGGGAUGAUGGCCUUCGGGUUGUAAACCGCUUUCGCCUGUGACGAAGCGUGAGUGACGGUAAUGGGUAAAGAAGCACCGGCUAACUACGUGC
rnacentral:rRNA from 1 species